rnacentral:rRNA from 1 species
UGCCAGCCGCCGCGGUAAUACGGAGGGGGCUAGCGUUAUUCGGAAUGACUGGGCGUAAAGGGUGCGUAGGCGGUAAAUAAAGUUGAAGGUGAAAUCCCAGAGCUUAACUUUGGAAAGGCGUUCAAAACUUAUUAACUAGAGUAUGAGAGAGGAUAGUGGAAUUUCUAGUGUAGAGAUAGAAUUCGCAAAGAUUAGAAGGAACACCAGUGGCGAAGGCGACUGUCUGGCUCAAUACUGACGCUGAGGCACGAAAGCAUGGGGAGCAAACGGGAUUAGAUA